CCUACGGGAGGCAGCAGUGAGGAAUAUUGGUCAAUGGCCGGAAGCCUGAACCAGCCAAGUAGCGUGCGGGAUGAAGGCCCUACGGGUCGUAAACCGCUUUUGCACGGGGAUAACACCCUCCACUUGUGGAGGUCUGCAGGUACCGUGCGAAUAAGGGCCGGCUAAUUCCGUGCCAGCAGCCGCGGUAAUACGGAAGGCGCGAGCGUUAUCCGGAUUUAUUGGGCUUAAAGGGUGCGUAGGCGGGCGUGCAAGUCAGCGGUAAAAUCGUGGGGCUCAACACCCCCCAGCAGUUGAAACUGGAGGCCUUGAGUUGACAACAGGCAGGCGGAAUUCGUGGUGUAGCGGUGAAAUGCAUAGAUAUCACGAGGAACCCCGAUUGCGAAGGCAGCAUGCCGGGGUGCGACUGACGCUGAGGCUCGAAGGUGCGGGUAUCAAACAGGAUUAGAUACCCGAGUAGUC
rnacentral:rRNA from 1 species